ensembl:snRNA U1 U1 spliceosomal RNA
AAAUUCUCCUGACAGGGGAGAGACCAUGAUCACAAAGGUGGUUUUCCCAGGGCGAAGCUCACACGUUGCACUCCGGAUGUGCUGACCCCCAAAAUUUCCCCAAAUGUGGGAAAUUCGACUGUGUAAUUUGGGUGGGGAGAAAAAGAAAAAUUAAAGGAAAAUAUUUCUG